CCGCCUCACGCCUCACCUGGACACAACACCUGCCUGCUACUGGAGACUCAUUAACCUGUUACCUGCUGCAAUCGAUAACUGCUCAUCUCUUAACGCUGCUUUUGUCUUCGUGUUGGAGUUAUUUACAAAGACACAGUGCUUUCAUCAACCCUGAAUGUAUCCCCUGCAUAAACUUAUAAAAGAAAAAUGCACGUGUUAUUUAUCUUUUCGUGUCUUGAGCCUCGACUUACGUGUGUGUGUGUGUGUGUGUGUGUGGGAGAGAGAGAGAGAGAGAGAGAGAGAGAGAGAGAGAGAGAGAGAGAGAGAGAGAGAGAGAGAGAGAGAGAGAGAGAGAGAGAGAGAGAGAGAGAGAGAAAUCAUCAUCAGUAUCACCACCACCUUUGCAUAACUGAUGAACAAAUCCUGGCUUUUUUUCUUCUUAUUUUACGGCUUCAGAUUUACUCGCAAUUUAAAUCUACGGGGAUUGAGUGUCACAUUACAAUAAGUCUACGGAGAAUAUUUGCCGCAUUUCAUAGUGUACGGAGUAAUACUGUAGGGGUUAGAGGUAGUAGUAGUAGUAGUAGUAGUAGUAGUAGUAGUAGUAGUAGUAGUAGUAGUAGUAGUAGUAGUAGUAGUAGUAGUAGUAGUAGAAAUAGUAGUUGUGUCACAAGUUAAACAAAUCUCACUCACAGCUAAAGUUAAGUUCACGUAAAAAUAAAUGAAACGUGAAGCUAAAUUAAGUUCAUGAAAACCUGUCAGUUCAUAAGAAAUCUUCUAUCAACAUGUGACGAAGUGCAGGGAGGAGGUGUGUGGAUGACAGCUCAUGGAAAGCUCACGCCUCCUUCGUUUCCUCUUCCUCCUCCUCCUCCUCCUUCUCCUUCUUCUCCUCUUUCUUCUCCUCCUCCUUCUCCUCCUCUACUAUCACGUUCUUUUCUUUCAUCAUUUCUUCUCUUUCUCCCCAUUUCCUUUUCACUUUUGUCUCCCUCCUCUUCCGCUUUAUCGUUUUCUCUCAUUCACUUAUUCUACUUCCAACUUCCUUUUAAUUCUUCUCCUCGUCCUCGUCCUUGUCCUCCUGCUCCUCCUUCUCGUUUCUCAUAUCCUUUCUUCUCCUUGGGUGUGAAAUCGUACGAGUAACAUAACACAACAUAACAUAUCAUGGCAUAACCUAAGACCACAGUUCAUUAAUAAAGCUACUUGAGAUAUAAAUAAGAUGAAUUAUGACAGAAGGGAGUCCCACACGUAACGCUGGCGGGAAUACCACUGGAGUAAACAGGCAGGUCCCGGCAGGCAGCGCUUUAUCAGGGAAAGGCACUGAGAGGUCAUAAAGCUGGUAAGAAUCCCUCUAGGCUCAGUGUGGAUUGAUUUCUUCCUUCGUCAACACAGCCUCGUAAUGCGUCUGCUGUGGUUCCUGGUGGUGCUGUCGGUGGCUGUCCUGGCUGCCUCGCCCGCCGCUGCGAAGCCUUUAUCUCCCCCCUACCCCGGUCCAGGGCCAUUCCCGCCGCCAGGACCAUAUCCGAUACCCUUGCCAUACCCACCGCCAGGACCGCCACUCCCAUGGCCACAGCCAUAUCCACCUCCACCCCCUCCCCCACGAGGACCUGAGCCUUGGUGGUGAAUCAGAGCCGCCUCACGCAUCACCUGGACACAACACCUGCCUGCUGCCGGAAGCUCAUUAACCUGGACACUCCUAUUACCUUCUCCUCCCUGCGACACCUUGAUCUCCUGACGCUGCUGAAUGUUCGUGUUCCUUAAGUGAACGAAGCCAUUAUUUUCUUAACCUUAAAAUGUAUCCCUGCUUAAAGUUAUAGAAAUAAAUGUAUGCAUAAUU